CCGUUCUGCUCGCCUCCGCCAACUGCACCGAGAAGAAAGAUUUUCUCUGCGAAGUGAGAAAGAACAACACGUUUCAAAAGGCCAUGCAGACCGAAUGUGCGGAAAUUUGGGAUAUUUCUACUGAUGAAAUCGAUAUGCUGUUGAAUGUGAGCGCGUUUCUCUCUCCAACUGCGAAAAUCUCGCUCAAUUUGAAGUGCUUCUUGAAAUGUGUCGGAGUUGAAGUUGGAAUGGUU